AAGGAAAUAAUGCAGUCUCUAAAAAUCAUUAUGGAUCAACUACGUCGAAUGGAAGAACGACAAAUUUCUAUAGAAAAUAAAACCGAUGAAAAUGCAAAA